rnacentral:rRNA from 1 species
GUGCCAGCCGCCGCGGUAAUACGGAGGGUGCGAGCGUUGCUCGGAAUCACUGGGCGUAAAGCGUACGCAGGCUGUUGUACAAGUCGGGUGUGAAAGCCCGGGGCUCAACCCCGGAAUUGCGCCCGAGACUGUAUGACUUGAAUGCGGGAGAGGGAAGCGGAAUUCCUGGUGUAGAGGUGAAAUUCGUAGAUAUCAGGAGGAACACCAGUGGCGAAAGCGGCUUCCUGGCCCGACAUUGACGCUCAUGUACGAAAGCGCGGGGAGCAAACAGGAUUAGAUACCCCGGUAGUCC